UAGUACGUGAAACCGUUCAGGGGUAAACCUGAGAAACCCGAAAGUUCGAAUGAAAAGAUUCAAUAUUCUUCAAUUGGUUGUACAUUUACUUAUGUGAUUUUGUGAUAGUUUUGUUAAUUCUUUUACCCUCACGGGUGGGAAUAUACAUAUUCUACACCACUUUGUUUAUGAACUAAAUACAACUAUGAAGGUAUGCACUUCUUUUCUAGUAGGACGUUGCGACCCAUUGAAUGUUAAUCUAAGGAUACUUGUUCAAGCCUAUUCUCAUUUUACUUAACUGUAUAUUUGAGACUACAGGUAGAGUAUCCUGAAUAACUGUUCGAUGGUAUUUAUAAAACCAUAAUAUUGGAUCGCCAUUCGUGGCAUUUGGUAUUCGUUCAAGUAUGUAAGGUAAUUUGAAUGUCCCAGGCACAUGUACUGGCUUUGAAUCCUAACUACUGUUAGAAUGAAAUUUACUAUCAAAUAGUAUCCUUUUAUUGGUCAGCAACGCUGUUGCUUUGGGUACUUUCAGGACCCGUCUUGAAACAGGGAACCAAGGA
rnacentral:rRNA from 1 species